rnacentral:rRNA from 1 species
CGACCCCAUGAUCGGGAUGGGAUAAGACUGUAGUCGAGCGUUCCAAGUAUGAGAGACGCGGCACACAGUCAGUAACACGUGGUAACCUGCCCUUGGGACAAGGACAAUCCGGGAAACUGGGGUAAUCCUGAUAGGUGAGAACUCCUGGAAUGGAUUCUCGCUGAAAGGACGUUUAGACCAUGUUUAGGCGUCGCCCAAGGAGGGGGCCGCGACCGAUCAGGUUGUUGGUGAGGUAACGGCUCACCAAGCCUUUACCGGUACGGGCCGUGAGAGCGGAAGCCCGGAGAUGGGCACUGAGACAAGGGCCCAGGCCUGCGGGGCGCAGCAGUCGCGAAAACUCCGCAAUACACGAAAGUGUGACGGGCUAUCCCGAGUGCCAUCCGCUGAGGAUGGCUUUUCCCCAGUGUAUAAAGCUGGGGGAAUAAGGAGAGGGCAAGCCUGGUGUCAGCCGCCGCGGUAAUACCAGCUCUCCGAGUGGUGGGGAUGUUUAUUGGGCCUAAAGCAUUCGUAGCCUGCUUGGCAAGUCCUCCGUUAAAUCCAACGAUUCAAUCGUUGGGCUGCGGGGGAUACUGUCCGGCUAGGGGGCGGGAGAGGCCGACGGUAUCCCCGGGGUAGGGGUGAAAUCCUAUAAUCCCGGGAGGACCACCAGUGGCGAAGGCUGUCGGCUAGAACGUGCUCGACGGUGAGGGAUGAAAGCUGGGGGAGCGAACCGGAUUAGAUACCCGGGUAGUCCCAGCUGUAAACGAUGCAGGCUAGGUGUUGGCGCGGCUACGUGCCGCUCCAGUGCCGCAGGGAAGCCGUUAAGCCUGCCGCCUGGGAAGUACGGCCGCAAGGCUGAAACUUAAAGGAAUUGGCGGGGGAGCACCACAAGGUGUGAAGCUUGCGGUUU